ACAGAGCAGAGCUGCCAGAAGCUGAGGAGCGGACGCAGCAAUGAGAAACUCAGCCCAAUCAUGUGGCCGACUGCAGUCUGGAAGACUUCCUGGGUGUGGAGUUUCUCUGAGUUUCUCAGAAAGGCAGAGGGAAGAUUUUUGUCAGUAGAAGGCACAUGGAAAGUCAGUCAUGUUAGUGAUCUUUCCUCCUCUGGCAGCUCCAGAGCCAGCUCCAGUUCAAGCUCAAAAGCCACCUUCAGAGUGUGUGUCAGGGCUAGGUCCACCACCAGCUCCAGCUGCAGCCUUAACCAGCCGCUCUAGGGAAAUCUGCAGAGCUGGAAGCAAGAGCAGCAACCACCGUAGCACCAGCUCCCGAGCUCCUUUGCAAGCUCCAUCAACAGCUCCAGCUCCAGGGCUAAGGCAGUCCCAGCAAGAGCACCAGAUCCAGCCAUGCAGCCACUGCAGGCUCUGGCCCCAACUCCAGCUCCAGAGCCCAAGCCAGUUCCAGCUCCAGGUCUUGAGACAACAACAGAACCUGCUGCUGUUUUGUUAUAACCAUCCUGACUGUUCCUAUGAAGGAUCCUUCUGCCUUUUCAUAACCUGUGUGCUGUUGUUUAAUUCUCAUGGAGAAUGACAAGUUCCACUAAAAUAUGCACAUGGCAUCUCCAAGAAACAGAAGCAAGAAUUAAAGUGAAGGGGUGGUAGGCAAAAAAGGCCAAGAAUGACCAUGAUUAGACCAAGGAACUUCCACUUCCAAGCCGUAGCUGGCUGCAUCCUCUUCAUGACUCUUGGGAAAAUAUUUUCUGUGGAGUCUAAAAGAAACAAAAAUACACCUGAAAAGAAAAAAAGGUAAGCAUUCCUUACAAAAGAGAAAAUUUCCCUUCCAUGUUAUGUGUCUACAGACAAAUAUUUUUCUUCACAUGCACUUUUGGAGUAAGGACUAUAUGCGUAGCUAUAGUUUACACCUGUAUAUACUCAGGAAGUAUUUGGAUUAUGAUGGUAUGAUGAUAGUUGUUAAAGAAAGUUCUUUUGCAUGUGAAAAAGAAAGGGAAGACAAGGCAAACAGCAGUCUGUUCAGCAUUAUCCUUUCAAUGAAUUCUACCCUUUUAUACAAUAAAAAGCUGUGGCUGUAUUAUAGGCCCUGGGUUAAAUAAAAGCAAACCACACUCUUUGUUCAAUAAUAGUUUUAUUUACUUAUUUCACUGUUAACUUGGGGAUAAUAUUCACCACAAAGUUGCAGGCAUCAUUUUAUAGUACAGACUACAGACGAUUGACUUUUUCAAGAUUAAAAAUGAACAUGGUUUGUGACACACCUGAAAUGCCUACUGAGGAAGUGCUGGCCACGAGGUAAUAAAAAAAGGUAAAAUUCAGUGCCUUUGGCAAAGAUGUGGACACUGUUUUAGAUGCGAGUAUGAUACAUGCCCUUUGCUUACAAAGCAAAUAUACACCCAUCUGUUUUUGGACUGCGGUUUCUCUAUCCACCAGAGAGCAUCUUUAAAUGAUUCACAGACAUUUCCCUGAGAGCUUCCUGCCAAGAGAAAUCAGCAUGCUGAUUCACCAUCGUGGAAGCCCAUUUUUAUGUAAUUAUUCCUCAAGCCUGCACCAAACUUGGUAACAGUUCCUAUAUUUAAAAGAAAGAAGGGCUUUGCCCAAACUGUGGCCAUCACAUAGCUCUAAGCAGACGCCCAGAGGAAGUUUGAAGUGUUACAUGUAGGAGGCUGGAAAUGCCCAUGUACUGGAUGAGGAAUGGCUAGAAGGGAGAUCAUGUGUUUGAUUGCUUGCAGAACAGGAUAAAGGAUUGUCUCCUAAUAACUUUCCACGCCAAGCAAAACUACAUGCAAGGAUUUUUAAGCCAAACUACAGAUCUUCACUUGCACAGAAAACUAUGUUUAUGAACUCUCCAGGCCCUCCAGAUACUUCUUUUACUAAGGCAAGUAACCGAGAAGCCUGUUCCAAAAGAAUUAUCCCUUCCAUGAAUUCUACUGUUUUAUACAAUAAAAAGUUUGUCUUUGUUGACCAA